GAAGGCGAAAGGGUCGAGCGAAAAAGAGCUCAACUUGCCGCCGCCGGACGCCUCCCUUCCGGGGAUUUUGGACGGCGAAAGAGUUAAGUUCCGCGCUCCUAGCAACGAAAUAGUUGGACCCAGCGCCCGGGACGACUAUUGAAGAAGGGGGCCCGCCGACAAAGCCGCAAAGUCUCGUGGAAAGGGCUGCACAAAGCGUGGUACCCUGUGGGUUCCCAGUCGUUGGGUCAAACCAGCGAUUGAGAGCCCUGGAGAACGAGGAGGAGAGACACCUGCGGUGCCUGCAGCCUCACCUGACCUUACACCACCACUUCCAGCCUCUUCAACACCUGAUUCCCCUGCACCUGCUGAAGAGGGAGACACUGGAACAACAUCUGAAUUAACUGAGUAACUGUACACAAAGGAACUGCAAGACUUACGUGCCCGAACUUGAUUUACUGUUUUUGUGCAUUAGUAUAGCAAAGAUGUUAGGAUUUCUGUCUAUUUCAUUGUACGGCUAUGUAAAAGGUUUUCUUCUUUUCACGGGUAUGAUUGCCAAUGUUGAGGCUCUUCACACCAUUGACCCUCGGAAAAAUAUAUGGGUCACCUGGGCAAAUCAAACAGGACAAUCAUCCUUUUGCUUGUCCUUGGCAUCUGCCUCAGAUCCUUUUCGUACUUGCUUAUUUGGUAUGCCUUUUAACUCGGUAUAUAAGUUAAACUCACUAUUUGCUGGUUGGGUUUCAUCAUCGUGUGGGAAUGAAAUAAUUAUCUCUAAUACAUCUGCGUGCCUUAUAAAAGCUCUCAAUACCUCUUUACCCCAGAGUCCCCAAGAGUUAGACUUAAUGGGAUCAUUGUCUGUACGUAAUACAAGUGAUAAUGGGACUCAAACUUGCUUUAUGCUGGGAACAUUUCAUUCUGGGUUAAGUGCACAUCAAAACCAUGAUUUGUCUAGAUGGACUAAUGUCACUUCACGUACCCCAGGGUUUAAUUAUAAAAAUGUAGGAGACUAUUGUGGCACUAACAAUACUAACAACCAGGGCCUUGGGGCAUAUGGAGCUGAAGUCAAACCUUCCUCACCAGGUAUUUGGGUUAACAACACUGCACGUGCCUUACCACUAGGUGUAUUUCUUAUUUGUGGUGACAGAGCUUGGCCUGGCAUUCCUGUACGUGCCUUCGGAGGGCCCUGCUAUAUAGGGUCACUUACGCUGUUAUCCCCAUCCUUUUUACAGCUUUUUAAUCUAACUUCAUCACGCAGACAAAAGAGGAGCCUAAACCAACUUUCCUCAGAUUGUGAUGACAAAGUAGAGCUAUGGGGUAAAACAGCUACUGUCUUUGGAUCUAUUGUCCCAGGUGUAGGCACGGCACAGGCAUUAACAUCCAUUCGCAAACUUGCAUGCUGGGCUGUAAAACAAUCAAAUGUCACCACCCGAGUAAUAGCAGAACUUGCACAAGACAUUGGUAGUUUACGUCAUGCCGUCCUACAAAAUCGAGCUGCUAUUGAUUUUCUGUUGUUAGCACAAGGCCAUGGUUGUAAGGACUUUGAUGGUAUGUGCUGUUUUAAUCUUUCAGAUCACAGUAACUCCAUACAUAAACAACUACAAUGGUUAACAGAUCAUACAAAGAAAGUGACAGUAGCAACUAGUCCUAUAGACUCAUGGCUUUAAUCUAUCUUUGGUUCUAUAUCUGAAUGGGCUCUAAGUUAUAUUAAAGAAGGCCUACGGUGGAUAUUGACAGUUAUUGUAAUCGUAGUAGUAACUCGUGUUGCCUUUUCUUGUAUUACUAGACAUGUAAAUACUACGACAAAGAAAGCAUUCUUGGCCCAAAAUAAAAACGGGGGAAUUAUAGAGGAUUGGUUAGAAAUGCGAGGACAUAUGAACAUCGCUAAGGCUAUGGAUGAGCUGCUAAAGUACAAGACGCAGUCUGACUAGGCCCAUGAGAAAGUUUGAGAUAGCAGGGCCGUGAGAAAGCAGCAGCGUCCUUGGGUAUUCUAAAUUGAGCUCAAAAACAGGAGCUAGGCAUUUGCAAAACAAAGACACUUAACGAGCCACCUGUGUAAACAAUAGAAGGCAGUUGAGAUGGUAUCACCACCUAACUGGGCACCAAUAAUGAGCCUAAUUUCUGUAAUAUUCAUGAACCUAUUAUAGAGUGUAUAUUAAGCUGUUGUCAAUCUACAAUAAACGAAGUUCCUGGAUUCUCA